AGGACCUGGAAGCAGUGGAAAUGGCCAGUGUGUGCGUGGUGCUGCUCAGUUCACUCUUGGCCAUUUCCUGGCAGGACACGUGAGCCAUGGUUAGGUUCCUUUCCUUUGGAGAGGGAGGGCCACAGCCAUGCUCUAAGCAAGGUGGGCGGUGUCCCUCCACCCAUCAAGCCCAUAAUAAAGCAGAGUCAUGUGCCCUCUUCCUAACUCCUGACAAGCUUCUUUAAAUCGGGCCAGGCACAGAGAGGCAGCUCCCUUUGCAACAGGGCUGGCAGGGGCCAGGGCUGCAGCAGGCAUCUCGCUGAACCCAACUGGAUGGAAGCAGGGGGAUCGUCAUGUGGUCACAUCCGCUGUGAUUCAACUCAUUUCCAGCAUGAUAAUGAAUUCAAGAACGAGCUUCUGAAAUGAACUCUCCAUCAGGAGGGAGGCGGUGAAACUGAGUCUCUGCCUGGCUUUAAAGUCCUUGCUGUUUCAUGUAUACACUUCUCUCACAUGGAAGGAAGAGUUCAAUUGCCAAGCUGGAAAGAGGUGGUGAUGCUCAGUGGAGAGUGCCUGGUUUCUAGCUCCAACCAUGUGACUUCAGCAGGUGCUCCCCACCAUCCCAUCCCCACGCAAAGAUCUGGCUUCCAGCUCCAACACUGCCACCAGAUGGCCAACUGUUCUUAGGCCAGUGGUCUAACCUCUCUGGGCUUCAGCUUCAUCAUCCCUUGUUAGAUGUGCUCUGCCUACCUCACGGGACUGGACUGCUGAGUGGAACAAAUGAGGUAAGGAUAUAAGAAUUUUUUGGAGAAUUAAAAACACAGAGCUAAAGUCAAAAAGAGUCAAAAGCAAUAAACUCAGGACUGGCCUAAGAUAAAAGGUGAAA
rnacentral:lncRNA from 1 species